rnacentral:rRNA from 1 species
UCAGUACCGUGAGGGAAAGGCGAAAAGAACCCCGGGAGGGGAGUGAAAUAGAUCCUGAAACCGUGUGCGUACAAGCAGUAGGAGCUCGCAAGAGUGACUGCGUACCUUUUGUAUAAUGGGUCAGCGACUUACUGUUCGUGGCAAGCUUAACCGUAUAGGGGAGGCGAAGGGAAACCGAGUCUGAUAAGGGCGCAUAGUCGCGGGCAGUAGACCCGAAACCGGGUGAUCUAGUCAUGGCCAGGGUGAAGGUGCCGUAACAGGUACUGGAGGCCCGAACCCACGUCUGUUGCAAAAGACGGGGAUGAGCUGUGAUUAGGAGUGAAAAGCUAAUCGAACCCGGAGAUAGCUGGUUCUCCUCGAAAGCUAUUUAGGUAGCGCCUCGGACGAAUACUACUGGGGGUAGAGCACUGUUAUGGCUAGGGGGUCAUCGCGACUUACCAAACCAUUGCAAACUCCGAAUACCAGUACGUACUAUCCGGGAGACACACGGCGGGUGCUAACGUCCGUCGUGAAAAGGGAAACAACCCAGACCCACAGCUAAGGUCCCAAAUUCACUGCUAAGUGGAAAACGAUGUGGAAAGGCAUAGACAGCCAGGAGGUUGGCUUAGAAGCAGCCACCCUUUAAAGAAAGCGUAAUAGCUCACUAGUCGAGUCGGCCUGCGCGGAAGAUGUAACGGGGCUAAAUCAUUCACCGAAGCUGCGGACUUGUGCUUGCACAAGUGGUAGAGGAGCGUUCUGUAAGCCGUUGAAGGUAAACCGGGAGGUUUGCUGGAGGUAUCAGAAGUGCGAAUGCUGACAUGAGUAACGAUAAGGGGAGUGAAAAACUUCCCCGCCGAAAGACCAAGGGUUCCUAUCCCAUGCUAAUCAGGGUAGGGUGAGUCGACUCCUAAGGCGAGGCUGAAAAGCGUAGUCGAUGGGAAACGGGUUAAUAUUCCCGUACCGACCAAUACUGCGAUGGGGUGACGGAGAAAGCUAGGCAAGCGCGGCGUUGGUAGUCCGCGUGAAAGUAAGUAGGCUGAGAGACUAGGCAAAUCCGGUUUCUUAAGGCUGAGAUACGAGACGAGUGUCUAAGGACACGAAGUUGUUGACGCUAUGCUUCCAGGAAAAACCUCUAAGCUUCAGGUAUUGGUGAUCGUACCCGAAACCGACACAGGUGGUCAGGUAGAGCAUACCAAGGCGCUUGAGAGAACUCUGCUGAAGGAACUAGGCAAAAUAGUACCGUAACUUCGGGAGAAGGUACGCUCUUUGCUGUUAAGGACUUGCUCCGUAAGCAGCGAAGAGUCGCAGUGACCAGCUGGCUGCAACUGUUUAUUAAAAACACAGCACUGUGCAAACACGAAAGUGGACGUAUACGGUGUGACGCCUGCCCGGUGCCGGAAGGUUAAU